UUGUAGGGGUUUAAUUUAAAUAUUCUUCCUUGGAGCCCUUGAGCUCGAGUGAAGACAGUCUUUCUCCCAGGAUGGGAGUUUGACAUCCCUCGAAUAUUUGAGAGGGUUAAAAAUCUGACUCAGUAUAAAUAUAUGAUUGUACAUAUCAAUUAUACUCUCAUGUAAUAUGAGUUGUAAUUUGAACUGUAAUUUGAGCAAUAGUCUCAUGUAAUCAAAAAAAA
rnacentral:lncRNA from 1 species